CCAAAUCUCACUAAUCCAAAUUCCAUACCUUUUAUCUACUCAAUACCCACUCAUUUUCUCUCUCAAAAUCUCCUUUCAUAGUGGAUCUAAAUAGGCUAAAACGAGAGGGCGUUCUUGGUGUUUUAUAAUAGAGGUUCGAUACGGGGGAAGAUAAUGGAGUUAGGGUUUUUCUGUUGAGGUCUUUUGUGAUGGUUCGAAGUCUUCAUCCGUCAAUCGUCACCCAAAAGGCCAAAAAAAUCAAACGCUACUUUACCCCUCUCGGCUGAAACACAAUAGCCUCCGGCGACCGGCAGGCUUCAGUGGUUCCCUCUCGAUUGAAAUACAACAGCUCUCCAUUAUAUAUUCAGAUUCAGAGAGGACCUGGCUCCUGAGAUUGAAAAGAGACGACAUAAGUUGAAGAAGGCUGCUAGUUUGCUUGCCUGUGCAAGAAGAGGUCGGGUAAACGUGGAUGUCGAUAAAAUCGAAUGCGAGUCUUGCUGUGCCACCCUCAAGUAUGUCGCACCGGAUUCAACGACUCCUACAAAAGGUGGUAAUGUAGGAGAAGAAUUCGGCAAUCAGCUUGAUGAAGGACACAAAGUAAUUUGCCCAUGGAGAGGAAACAGUUGUGAAGCUUAGUGCAGUUCCCUCCUACGCCGCCAUCAGCCCUAAUUGGCGGUUACAAGGACCAUUGUGACAGGGGAAUUGACUGGAUGAGGGUCUCUAGAGGCCCGGAAAUUGACCGCUUUUUGGUUCAGUUGCAUACUUUCGCCACAGGGGAAUCAGGUUUUCAGGCAGACAUCGCAUCUGGUUCAGAUAAUGCCAGAGAAGAGGCGUCAUGCAUAUAUUCACGUGUAACAAUGGUGGUUUGGUGAUUUAAGCUGGUUCAAAAUUUAUGUUGUUUGUUCCGGAUCUUUAUGUUUAACAAUGGUGAUUUUGUAAUUUAACAUGCUCCGAAUUUAUGCUAUUUGUUUUUGUUGAA